GAUGAACGCUGGCGGCGUGCCUAACACAUGCAAGUCGAGCGAAGCACUUACUUUAGAUUUCUUCGGAAUGACGAAGUUUGUGACUGAGCGGCGGACGGGUGAGUAACGCGUGGGCAACCUGCCCUGUACAGGGGGAUAACAGUUAGAAAUGACUGCUAAUACCGCAUAAGCCCACAGCUUCGCAUGAAGCAGUGGGAAAAACUCCGGUGGUACAGGAUGGGCCCGCGUCUGAUUAGCUAGUUGGUAAGGUAACGGCUUACCAAGGCGAUGAUCAGUAGCCGACCUGAGAGGGUGACCGGCCACAUUGGGACUGAGACACGGCCCAAACUCCUACGGGAGGCAGCAGUGGGGAAUAUUGCACAAUGGGGGAAACCCUGAUGCAGCGACGCCGCGUGAGCGAUGAAGUAUUUCGGUAUGUAAAGCUCUAUCAGCAGGGAAGAAAGUGACGGUACCUGACUAAGAAGCCCCGGCUAACUACGUG
rnacentral:rRNA from 1 species